rnacentral:rRNA from 1 species
CAGUAGCCGCGGGAACACGAAGGGUGCAAGCGUUAAUCGGAAUUACUGGGCGUAAAGCGUGCGUAGGCGGUUUGUUAAGUCUGUUGUGAGAUCCCCGGGCUCAACCUGGGAAUGGCAAUGGAUACUGGCAAGCUAGAGUGCGUCAGAGGAUGGUGGAAUUCCCGGUGUAGCGGUGAAAUGCGUAGAGAUCGGGAGGAACAUCAGUGGCGAAGGCGGCCAUCUGGGACAACACUGACGCUGAGGCACGAAAGCGUGGGGAGCAAACAGGAUUAGAUACCCCUGUAGUCCCUGUCUCUUAUAA